GAUGAACGCUAGCGGCAGGCCUAAUACAUGCAAGUCGGACGGGAUUGGAGAGCUUGCUUUCCAUGAGAGUGGCGCACGGGUGCGUAACACGUAUGUAACCUACCAUUGUCAGGGGGAUAGCCUCUCGAAAGAGAGAUUAACACCGCAUAACAUGAUUGAAUAGCAUUAUUUAAUCAUCAAAUAUUUAUAGGACAAUGAUGGGCAU
rnacentral:rRNA from 1 species